rnacentral:snRNA from 1 species
GUACUCACUUUGGCAGCACAUAUACUUUAAAAAAUUGGAACAAUAUGGAGAAGGUUAGCAUGGCCCUUGCACAAGGAUGACAUGCAAAUUCAUGAAGUGUUCCAUAUUUUU